GGAGGAGGAGGAGGAGAAAGGCUCAGAGAAAGGAAGGGACUUGCUUAAGGUCAUCCAGCGACAAGCUGCACUAAGCAGUGCCAGGCAUGUGGCAUUUCAAUUCUACUAGCUUUUAUCAUUUUACAAGCCCCUCCAAGUACUCUCUUCUGAUUCUCAGGGCCCCCCUUAGGGGCAGAUGACACACAGGAAGUCACGUGCCGAUUCUGAGGCCCAGAGCGCCUGUUACAAGGUGCUCAGCACAUCUAAGUGUGUCCACAAGCUGGCUGUAUACACUUCCUUCAGAUCCACUCUGCUGUCCUUAACAAGUUUUUCAUCGUUCUUUUUCUAGGACACAAAAUCACACUGCCAUUUUGCUGUUUAACCUGAGGACAGCACAGAUGAGCCUUCAUGCCUGUGGGCCUUUUGUGAGGGGGAAUCCAGAGUUCGCCUUUAUUUUAUUUUAUUUUAUUUAAAAAAUUUUUUUUAACGUUUACUGAUUGUUGAGACAGAGAGAGACAGAGCAUGAACAGGGGAGGGUCAGAGAGAGAGAGGGAGACACAGAAUCUGAAACAGGCUCCAGGCUCUGAGCUGUCAGCACAGAGCCUGAUGCGGGGCUCGAACCCACGGACCUCGAGAUCGUGACCUGAGCCGAAGUCGGCCGCUUAACUGACUGAGCCACCUAGGUGCCCCCAGAGUUCGCCUUUAAUGGGAAGGAGCGGGAAGCUCCUCCUUAGCCUUUCUGGGGAGCCAGCCCCCAAUAGGGAGCAGACAUCUCUCUGCUUCUCCAGGGCUGGGCUCUGCCCUGUGGCAUGGGGGCCAGCCGGGGGGAGGUGCGACCACCACAUGAGUCUGCAGUGCUGGGGGUCAGCCGGGAGGGCACAGGCUAUGCCCUUCCUUCCCAGCUUCUUCCUCUUUGUUCUCUCGCUACCUGCCUCACCUAAAAGAGCCUGUGCCUCCUCUGUGCCAUGCAUUUUACAGGGGCCAAGACUUGCUUCUUGCCAUGACUGGGGGAGAAACAGUUUUGAGACCCCACCUGGUGCGUGGACCACAAAGCCUGAGAAAGAGGCCGGGGUUACAUUUUGCAGAGCAAAACACACUGGAACUAAUGGGGCACCUGAUCGGACUUUGAGCUUCAGUGGCACUUUCUGAAGUAAGCCCUUGUGGGUUUUGACCUUGCAAGUUUGUAAAGGAUUACAUUCUCCGUUACAGAUAGCUUUUAUCGUGGACCACUGGCUUUUAAUCGCCACAGCUUGGGCAAGAGGAUAAAAGCUAUAGCUGCAUUAUGUCUAAAACAGCUACAUUAUGUCUUAUGCCAACUUUCCACUUUAGAUACCGUGCGGCCUUGGAGUAAACCUAACUCAGUGCUCACAGGGGCAGGUGGCUGACGGGCUCCUCUGCCUCAUGCUGGCCUUCAGUAGAAGGAAGCACACCUCCCCAUGGAUAUAAAAUGAAUCUUUCCACCUGUCCUUUAUCAGUAACAAUAAAUGGCAAUAUUUUGGCUCUCAUCUGCCUUCUUGUUUGUCUUCUCAAAUAGUUUAAUAGCCAUGUGGGAAGGGAAGGUGACUUUUUUGGCAUCCUUCAGAGACCCCAUCCCCUAUGACUCCCACAUGUGGGUCUUUGGGGAUCCAUGACAUGGCAUCUGUCCCCAUUGCUGCUCUGCGGUGUGUGCCCCCCAGCAGACCCCCCAGCCUACCUCUGUGCUGGUCUUGGUCCUGGCUGGAGUUCUCUGUCUCUCCGCCUCCUGGAGGGCAUGCCCCAGAUGGCAUCUCUGAAGUCCCUGGUGUGCCCUCCGGGGCCUCCUUCUCCAACUCAGAGUGGGAAUGGCUCCGUGUCCACCACGUCAGGCGAGCGAGCUGGAGGGAAAGAAAAUACCGCUUGAGUCGGUUACUUUUGAGGGGAAGUCUUACUGUGGGAAAAGACAACCCCCUUCAAGGAGGCCGGCAAAGCAGUGAGGAGCUCGAGGAACAGGCACAGGGCCGAGUCAGGAGGCCUUGCUCCAGCCGAAUGCUCUGUCUUUGAAAAUCUGCACCCCUGAGCACCUGUUCCAGGCUCCAUGCUUGGAAACUGGGAGGAAAGAAGCCGGACAGGGAGGCAGGUGCCACACGGCAAAAGGCUUCCAAGAUCAGGCUGUGGAGUUGAUACUCGUAAAUAGAAACUCGUAGGCAAUGGAGAGUCACUGCAGACUUCAGACAAAGGGAAGAGACUCUAAGUUGUGGAAUUUAGAAAGAUCUCUUGGAGGGGUGCCCGGGGGGCUCAGUUGGUCAAACAUCUGACUUCAUCUCAGGUCAUGAUCUCACAGUUCGUGAGUUCGAGCCCCGCAUUUGGCUCUGUGCUGACAGUUCAGAGCCUGGUGCAUGCUGGGGAUUCUGUGUCUGCCUGUCUCUCUGCCCCUCCCCCACUCGUGCUCUGUCUCUCAAAAAUAAAUAAACAUAAAAAAAAAAGAUCUCUCAGAGUGAAUCAAAGGGAUCCUGCCUGGAGGCUGCUGGAAAAGCAGAGCAAGACGUACAGAGCCUCUGGGAUAGAUGGAGGGGGCAGUCUUUGGGAUGUUGAGGAGGAAGACCCACAAGCCUUUGUGACUGAUUGAUUGAGCCGGGCAAGGAAUCCGCAGACAUGGCUCUCAGGUUCCUGUCGUGGGCCAUCAGAUGGGUGGUGGGCGAGCUGGAGGACUCUGCCUAAAGACUGCCAGCAGAGCCCGCCUCCGCAGGGUGGAGGUGUCCAGGUGAGGAGCACCACACCUGUGUCCCGUGGACAGCCCUGGUGGCUUGACCUCUCCUCCCUUUCUGGAGGCUCGGCAGAACGCACAGCAAGUCUUCUGGCUGAUAUCAGUUGGACCCAACCGUGACCGAGCUCUGGACGGCCUCCUUUCCAAACAGCCUUUUUUCGUAGCCAGGCAGCUCUUGGUUCCAUAUUGACCCAGGUAUCCCCUGCCCCGCCCCAGAUUCCUACAAAUAUGUACAGCGGUGCAGGGUGAGAGGCCGUCUUCUGGGGCCCUUCCUGCCGGCGUCCAGCUACGCCUCUGCAUGGUCGUGAGAGCCUGGGCUGCGUCUUCCCUUGUAAGUACAUCUUCAUAAAUGUUACUUCAGACUUAUACCAUGUGUCAUUGAGCAGUAUGUGGGCGGUGUCACUUCAUGGCAUGGGAGGCAGUUGGAUUUGGGGUUUGAAUCUUUGGCUAGCGACAGAGAAUUGAGUUUUGUCUUCAUGUAGAGGGUGGUUGAAUCCACGGACACAGAUAAGAUAACUCAGAGACAGUGUGGGGAGAAGGGUUAUAGGCCAUAUUUGGGUUCCUAAGGAACCCUGACAUUUAAGACCACAGAGAAGGCAGAAGAGCAGAGGGUGGAAAGACAAUACUGGAGAGGAAUAUGUCACGGAAGUGAACGGAAGAGAGCCCUUCAGGAGGCAGGGGGUGGUCAGCGGUGUCUGGUUCCCAGAGCUCACUGAGGAUGAAGAUGAGGACGUGACCAGUACUUUCUGCAACAAGAAGGUUAUUGGGGUCUUGGCGAGAGCAGCUGCAGUGGGAAGGUGGGACACCAGACUGGAUGAGACGUAUACAAGAAGUGGAAAGUAAGGCUGGGGGGGAGACCCCUCUGCACGGUGUCCUGGUGAGGAGCAGGGCGGGGGGCAGGGGAGGCAGCCGUAAUUAGGGAAGGGAGGGGAUUUUCAAGUGUGAGACAUCUCAGUGUGGGGCUGAGAGAGCAGACAAUGGAGAAGAAGUUGAAGAUUCAGGCAGUGAAGAGAGACCAUUUCUGGAGUGAGCCACCAGAGAAAUUGGUCUCUCUUGGCUCCUCGGUAGGAAUUAAUGGUACCAAGGGUAUAAAGUCGUUUUGCAAACUCUAAAGCACCAUACAGGCCAGAGGUGUUAUUCAUAAGUUCCACCCAAUGUUUCAGGGACUAACUUCUGGCAUGGGCUCUGUUAUUUUUGGGCUGAAUUGUGUCCCUCCUUCAAAUUUAUAUGUUAAAGUCCUAACCCACAGGACUUCAGAAUGUGACUAUACAUGGAGAGAAGGCCUUUAAAGAGGUAAUUAAGGUUAAAUGAAGACAAUAGAGUGGCCCUAAUCCAACAUGACUGGUGUCCCUAUAAGAAGGGGAGACUAGGGGGCGUGUCUGGGUGGCUCAGUUAACUGUCCCACUCUUGGUUUCAGCUCAGGUCAUGAUCUUGCAGUUUGUGAGUUCGAGCCCCACAUAGGACUCUGUGCUGAUGGUGGGGAGUCUGCUUGGGAUUCUCUGUCUCUUCCUCUCUCUCUCUGCCCCACCCCUGCUUGUGCUCUCUCUCUCUUUCUCAAAAUGAUAAAUAAACUUUAAAAACAAAAGAAGGGGAGACGAGGGCACAGACGGGCACAAGGAAAGAGAGGGUGAGGACAGAGAGGAGAAGGCAGGCAUCCGCAAGCCAAGGACAAGGGACCUCAGAGCAAACAGCCCUACAGACACCUUGACCUCAGACUUCUCACCUCCAGAACUGUGAGGACAUACAUUUCUGUUGUUUCACCCCCCCAGAUUGUGGUUUCGUGUCAUGGCAGCCGGAGCCAAUACUCUUUUGCUCUAAUGAAGAAAGGUUUCAAAGGACACCUUCAAAGUCUGAAGACUGGCAAAUCUGUGAGCACAGGAGUGGUGAGGACUCGCUCUGGUGGACUCCCCUCAUUUACCUGUGUCUCAACUGGCCAAUGAAUCCCUGCUCUUUCUUCUAGGGCCAGCUCAAAGUGACCUUGUCAGGGAACCCGAUGCAACCCCCAGGGGUGACAGCGCCUCCUGUCCUCGGCCCCUCCCUGUGAGCUUGGUCCUUCUUCACUCUCUUGUGGUAGAGUAACUGCGUGUGCUGGUGCCUGUCCCCGACACUUGCUGGCAGGCCCCAUUCAUCUUGGUAACCCUAGCACAGAGCCCGGCACACAGUAGGUGCUCAUUGAGUAAAUUUCCCAUUGAAUGAAUUACUUUUCACAUGGGAAUUACUAACCCAAUGAGCUCCUCCUCCCAAGGACUCUGUGUGGCUGCAGAGGAGACAACCCAAUGGAGUAAAACUUGGGGGUAGAAUUUCAGACACUGGGGGUAGGGAGAACAUUUCGUGGGGCCCCAGAACAAGCACUCCACUUGCCUUCUCCUCAGGGAUGGGGGUGGUACAGAGACUGACAGUGACGAUGACGAUGGCAGUGAGCCCACAGAGCAGGAGUGCAAAGUAGAGGUAGUGGAAGUCCUUCAGCACGGCCGGCCUCCGGUCCACCUCCCCGCAGGCUGGGGCUGGGUAUGAGAACUCCAGGAUCAUGCGCAGAAGCCCCACUGCCAGGCCAAACAUGAGGCCCCAGAAGGCUCCCUGUGGAGAGAGGGCAGACACGGGCAGGGGUGAGGUCCAGCUGCAAGGCCCUAGGAAGCUAAAAGCCACUGGGUUGUUAGGGUGUUUGCAGGUCCGCCUUAGUGAGCUCCCCAUUAAUGCUGAGGCUUUGUCUGAACUCAAAGACGGGCAGAGUGGUGCACUGGGAAGGGCACAGGCUCCAGAGUCAGACACACUAGGAUUUGGAUCCUGGCUCCAUUCCAGAACGAUCAAAGCAGUGACUCAACCUAUUGGCUUGGAGUUUUUGUGUGUGCAAUGAUAAGAGAAAUUGAUACUCUGUAUAGAUGCUUAGUAUUCAACUAGAAUGGAAUAUGCUUUUGUAAUAAGCAAGGAAAACCAGGAUCCCCCAUCCUGAUUUUCUGUUAUAAUAAAUUAAAAAAUCAGAAUAGAGCUCUUCCUGUUUUGCUUUUUAAAAAGAAAAGCCCCAGCACCUCCCCUGUCUUGUUUAUAACACCAGUUGACCUAACCUAUACCUGUUUCCCAUAUGUAUUUUAAAAAAUGAGAUGCUGAUCCUGAUUUCAAGAAUUCUGGGAUGAGCAAAACACUCAGAAUUCAACCAAGCCCUGCUGUGCACCAUGGUUAUCAGCAGGGAGAUUCGACCUCUGGAAACAGUAGACAGAUUGGUGGGUACUCCCCCGGGAGAGGGGUUUCUGAGGUCUCCUUUGCAAUGACUUUGAGCUGUCAUGUGGCUCCUGCAGAGGUUGUCCAUAACAUCCCUUAGCCCCAGCGGAGUUGGGCCCCUCUUUUCUA